rnacentral:rRNA from 1 species
GAGUGAACGCUGGCGGUAGGCCUAACACAUGCAAGUCGAACGGCAGCACAGUAAGAGCUUGCUCUUACGGGUGGCGAGUGGCGGACGGGUGAGGAAUACAUCGGAAUCUACUUUUUCGUGGGGGAUAACGUAGGGGAACUUACGCUAAUACCGCAUACGACCUACGGGUGAAAGCAGGGGAUCUUCGGACCUUGCGCGAUUGAAUGAGCCGAUGUCGGAUUAGCUAGUUGGCGGGGUAAGGGCCCACCAAGGCGACGAUCCGUAGCUGGUCUGAGAGGAUGAUCAGCCACACUGGAACUGAGACACGGUCCAGACUCCUACGGGAGGCAGCAGUGGGGAAUAUUGGACAAUGGGCGCAAGCCUGAUCCAGCCAUACCGCGUGGGUGAAGAAGGCCUUCGGGUUGUAAAGCCCUUUUGUUGGGAAAGAAAAGCAGCAGGUUAAUACCCCGCUGUUCUGACGGUACCCAAAGAAUAAGCACCGGCUAACUUCGUG